GGAAAAUAUAUAUCUGGGUUUAAACACAAUCUAAGAAGUUCUUUUUAAGACAUGAAAUUGGUUAUAAAGUGAGUUGAGUUGAGAUUUAAGAAUAUGUGACUGCAAUGGGAACUUGUGCAAAUUGAAGGGUACUGGAGAAUAUAACAGGUUCUAUGAAGAAGGGGUUUACAACUGUGCUGGGUGUGCAACUCCUCUUUAUAGGUCUUCCACUAAAUUUUACUCUGGUUAUGGUUGGCCUGCUUUCUUUGAGGGUUUACAUGGUGCCAUCAAUCGCUCAUCGGACCCAGAUGGGAGGAGGACUGAGAUAACUUGUGUAUCAUGUGGUGGCCAUUUGGGUCAUAUUUUCAAAAGAGAGGGGUUCAAGACACCCACUGAUGAACGUCAUUGUGUUAAUAGUGUUUCCGUUAAGUUUAUUCCAGCUAAUUCUGCUGCUUAACCAUUAUGGCCUAUGUGUUGAAAAUUGAGAGAGCCUUGUGUUUUCUUUCUCAUUUGUUCUCCCAUUUGAUAGGUUGAUGCUUAGAGAGCCUAUCAUCGAAAUGCCCUUGUCAUUCUAGAGAAACUGUAUACUGAGUAGCUUUUGGGAGUGGAUGCAUGAGUAGAUAUUGCGAAAUAUGGUAUGACAGUAAAAAGUUCUGGAACUUGUUCCAUAUGCAACCUAUGCGUGACCAGAAGGGAGAAGUACAGCAUUUUAUUGGUGUUCAACUCAAUGAUAGCCAACAUGUGGAUCCUCUUCACAACUGCAUCACAAAAAAUACUGUAAAAGAAGGAGAACAACUGUGCUGAAAAAAGAUGAGACACUUUGCUACUAUGUGCAAGAAUGUAAAAAAUGGGAAGUCUUGUGUCAUCAAAUUUUGUCACAAGUGCCUCUUAAACAGAUAUGGAGAGACUAGAGAGAAGGCAGAAGAAGUGAUACAGCAAGAAGAAUAGAUUUGUAUGUUGAUAUUGAAUGAGGAGUGAACCAAAACAUGUUGAUAAAUACAUUUAUCAAGGAUUAGUGUAAGGACCAAGUUUCUUAUGUAAUGUGUAUCACUUUUUUUUUUCUUUUUCAUAUGGAAUGUUCAUAGAGUUUAAGUGUUUUAAGGAUUAUUUUUUUCUUUUCUCA